rnacentral:lncRNA from 1 species
AGAAACUCAAGAUUUUCUACAAAUAAUUUUUUGAGGCAAGAAGAUGCUAAAGUCACUUGUACUGCCACUAAACUUUACUAAAAGUUGGUUUGAACACUUUAAUUGCUUUUGAAUAGAUGAUUGAAGCUGUGAAGAGGUGGCAGCAGCUGACAUGUUGCCAUGGUAGCAUUUCCUCCCCAGCUGAGGAGGCUAUACAGAAGAAAGGAUAUAGGUCAGAAAGUGUUUAUACUGACAAAACAACUGCAUAUUAAAAUCAAAUGCUUUUGUAAACAUCAUAAGCCAAAUGAGAGUUGUGAAAUCUAGUUUCAGGCUAUUAAAGACAGACUGAUUUAUCUUUAGGAUGAUGUAUCAAGCUGUACUGUGAGAAUGGAGCAUUCAAGGUCAAGAAUACUCUCCUUCCUGCAUAUUGGCAAUUCAAUUUUAAAAGAUUGAAACACAAUGAAAGUGUUUCUAUCAGUUUCUUCUGUGUUCCUUGCAAUAAGGAUAUAUUUAAUUGAAAAAUUCUUCUGGAAGAUAGUUCAUCUCUGAAUAAACUACUCCAGGACAUAAAAGCCCUUUUAACCUUUUCCUGGAUUGUUAAUACAAAAAAUUGAGGUCUCUCUGCAGCCAUCUCGGUACAACUUGGAAAAAGCUUGAAACUGGUAGAAGCCAUCAAUGAAGUCUGAAGAUAGAGACACCGUAGGAGAAGGUGACUUGCAUCUAGUGACAUUUAAGCCCUGAAUCUGAAACCAAUCCUAUAAACACUAUAAAAAUUAGUCAG